GCAGGGAACCCGUCUGUUCAAUAAUGUGUGCUCGAGGAUCAAUGAUAAUUGAGGGCCUUGUAGGCCUGUUUGGUUGGAAAUAGUCUGGAUAGAAGCAGCAUAUGUGAUCUAUAAAUAAAUGGCCUCUGCAAGAUAAAGAUUCCAGUGAUCCUACCAAAAGAUGCAGAGAAAGGUUCUCUUCGCAGGAGAGAUGACGCCGUCGCCCAUGUCCAUUCGAGGGCUAGGCGCCAGCAUCAUUUCUCCUGCAUAGGAAACCUUUCAUGUGUAAAUAAGUCAACUGGGGAGCUGGGCAGAGGAUAUAUGUAGAGUUUCAAGGUAAAGAUGGGACUAUGGAUAGGCUGAUCAUGUGUUCAGCUUUUGAAGAUAUGGAAUAUGCAAAACUUUUGGGGCUGAGGAACAUCUUCUCCUACUAUUUUAGCAUCUCUUGCAGACCAAUAAGCCAUAAGCCAUGGUUUCUUAUUUUCUCGGAUAGAUCUCUCAAGCCCCUACCACUGCAACCUACUCAAAUCCAAAAUGAGUCUUCACACGCUUCGAGCUUAUUGAAGCCUCAUUGACUAAUGCUGGUAAAUUCGGAUGAGGAGUAAGGCAUUGAACUUCUUAGCGGAACUCAUUCAAGGUAAGAUCUGUAUGUAUUUUUGUUUGUUGUGAAUGGGCUGAAUCUCAAGCAGAACAAGCUAGAAAUGAUCAAGACUCUGAGCGUUUUAUAAGAUCUGGAUAGCAUACAAUCAUAUGAUUUUUUUUUCCCCAUUUGAUGGAAUUGGAGCCAUCAAAUAUACCCAAUAGUAAAAAUGGCGAACUUGCUACUUUCACAUUCAAGCAAUAAUGAAUAUCUUUUUCAUAACAAGGUGCCCACUUGAAGAAGAAAAUCUGGCAAAAGGUAGCCAGCUGGAGCUAGGAGUACAGCAGGCUGUCAGCAAUGGUUGCGCUCGUAAAUGCCUAAAGUUAUUCAGUGCACGUCCUCCAAAAAACUGGGCUAGCCCACUGCCCACUAGAAUAGCAGGAUGGGAAAAGCUUUAUUAAACAUUGUACUGUAAUAUAUAUAAGAUACCAUUGGAAGAUGUUCAAGAAUUUUCUUAAUGAUAUUAAGCAUGUUUAUGAGGA